UACGUAGGCAGCGAGCGUUGUUCGGAGUUACUGGGCGUAAAGGGUGCGCAGGCGGUGGAGCAAGUCUGUUGUGAAAUCUCCCGGCUUAACCGGGAGGGUGCGGCGGAAACUGUUCUGCUGGAGUGAGGGAGAGGCAAGCGGAAUUCCUGGUGUAGCGGUGAAAUGCGCAGAUAUCAGGAGGAACACCGGUGGCGAAGGCGGGUCUCUGGGCCGAUACUGACGUGAGGAGCGAAAGCGUGGGGAGCGAACAGG
rnacentral:rRNA from 1 species